rnacentral:lncRNA from 10 species
UUUUUAAUACUAUUUUUAUUUUUUGAGACAGGGCCUGUUUCCCAGGUUGAAGGGCAGUAGUGCAAUCACGGCUCACCGUAGCCUCAACCUCCUGGGGCUCAAGUGAUUCUCCCACUUGAGUAAAUGGGACUACAGGUGCACAUCACCAUGCCCAGAUAAUUUUUCUAUCUUUUUUGUAGAGACAGGGUUUCGCCACAUUGGCUAGGCUGGUCCUGAACUCCUGGGCUCAAGCUAUCUGCCUGCCUCGGCCUCCCAAAGUGCUGAGGUUACAGGCGUGAGCCACCAUGCCUGGCCACAAUUCUUUCACUUUACUGUUUGGUGUUCCUUUUCUAAAUAUUUAAAAGGAUACUAAAACUAAAAAUUUUCUUUUCAAAAAAUUUUCUCUUUAGCUCUUCAAGAGGGAAGAUAGAGCCUAAGAAUAUAUCUUGCUACCCAAAGUACUAUCCUGUCUUCUCUGGAACCACUCCUCUUAACAGAACCCAGUUUAAGGCAGAGGUGAGACAUCUGAAGGCUCUUUCAUCUGGAAGGAUCUCAUUAGACUGGUGUGACAGGCUGUUGCUAAACUCUCUUAUGUUCUCCUAAAAGCUGGAAAAGGCAAGGAAGGAUCAUUCCCUAGAAGCCUCGAAGGGAGCGUGGCCCUGCCAAUUCCUUGAUUUCAAAUUUCUACCCCCCAAAACUGUGGAAGAAUAAUUUCUGUUGUUUUAAGCCACUGAGUUUGUGGUUCUUUGUUAUAGCAGCCCUAGGAAACUAACACAGAUGAUAAAGGUCUAACCUUUCUAAAUUCCAUUAGAUAGUAUUAUCAUUAUAUUUAAAUCGCCAUUUAAAGUGUGGCUUUUCCAAGUGUACUUUGCUUGAAAAAGAAAAAAAAAUCUCUAGCCUUUGUUUUUUUCUUUUUUUUUUUAAAUGAUGGAUUUAAAGGUCAAGCACUGACAGAAGUGUCAAUCCAUAUUUCAAAUGCAUUAAUGUGGUCAUGAAAAAAGUAAUCAGAUAGAUGUUUAAUAGUUAAGCAUUGUCCAUUUGAGUUGCAGAGCACCCCACCCUUCAUUCAUUCCUUCAACCAACUACUCAAGUGAAGAACAUGCUUACUUGUUACUGGUUGGUCCUGUUGCCAAGACAUCGGACUGUAACUUUGGAAAGAACCCCUGCUCAUAUUUGCCUUGACCAAUUUUCAUAUCAAGUAGAUGUGGGUGGAUUGCAGUGUGAUCCAUUUUCAUCAGUCUCUGCUCAAUUGAUUGGGCUAUAAAUUAAAUUUAUAAUAAAUUAGAGACAUUUCAUUGCUAGCCCUUCAAAAAUAAUGCUUCCUCCACUCAUGCACCUACAGAGAACCCAAUCACUCUGACACUCUGAAACAGAUAUUGUGUGUGUGUGUGUGUGUGCACGCACGCACGCAUAUAUGCAUGUUUUGAGACAGAGUUUCACUCUUAUUGCCCAGGCUGGAGUGCAAUGGCGCGAUCUCAGCUCACUGCAAUCUCUACCUCCUGGGUUCAAACGAUCCUCCUGCUUCAGCCUCCCAACUAGCUGAGACCGCAGGCAUGUACCACCAGUUCCAGCUAGUUUUGUAUUUUUAGUAGAGAUGGCGUUUCAUCAUGUUGCUCAGGCUGGUCUUCAACUCCUGACCUCAGGUGAUCCACCCUCCUUGGCCUCCCAAAGUGCUGGGAUUAUAAGCGUGAGCCACCACGCCCGGUCUUGAAAUAGAUUUUUACAAGGGCUCUUCAGAAAUUAGUAUAAUGUAAGUAUAAAAAGUUAACUUUAAGUAAAUAUUGGAUGAUUAAUUUUCAUGGUAUUUUCUGCCUUUGUCAAAAUCAGGGCCGCGGGGAUGAAAAGCCUACAAUUUUGUAUUGAAACAGUUUCUCUUAAGUAAGAAAUUCAAUAUUCUUACACAAAAAUAUGGUUCUAAGUACAACAUUAAAGAAAAUGAUAGCAAAUAAAAUAUUUUUCUUGAGCUGAAAUACAAGUUAAAGAGAAGACGCAAGCACAAUGGCCUUAUUAACUUUACUUCUUUAUACAAAGACCUAUUAAAUAUUCGUGGUUCUCCAUCUGUAAAAACAAGGAACGGUGUGAAGUUUAUUACCUCACUUUUAGCAACAGUCACGUUCUCAUUAGUAGGAGUCAUUUUGGAGUGUUUAUUAGAUCAAGAAGGUAAUACAGCAAAAAGUCAUAUAAGCAGGCAUUUAGAAAAUGUCCAGAGGAUAAGAAACUGGCCUUUUGAAGAAUAAAAUAGGUGAAUGUUAAGAUAGGAUUACUAAACAUUUCUAUUUUAAAACCACUAAGAGUCAGGGAUGUUGGAAGAUGUCUCAAAGUCCCCAGAAACAGUGAUCUAUUUCUCAGGUAAACAAAUAAAUAAAACCUGAUCUUAAACAUUUUAAUCAACUGAAUUGUCAAGAGAAAAUAUAUUUUAGAAGCAAGCCUAGGUCUCUGAUCCUCUGCCUAGAGAUUACUUAAAAGGGGAGAACAAGCAGUAAUGGUAGUUGUGUGAUAAACAGAACACACUGUGGGAGCUGCUAAUUUUGUGAUUUAAGAGAAGAACCAGGUGCCUUUAUAAAUAUUUCAUAGAAUCAGUUUAUGUUGCCCCUUUUCCUUUUUUUUCAGAUGGAGUCUAGGCUGGAGUGCAAUGGCGCAAUCUCAGCUCACUGCAACCUCCACCUCCUGGGUUCAAGCGAUUCUCCUGCCUCAGCCUCCCGAGUAGCUGGGAUUACAGGCACCCGCCACCAUGCCCAGCUAAUUUUUGUAUUUUUAGUAGAGAUGGGGUUUCACCACAUUGGCCAGGCUGGUCUCGAACCCAUGACCCCAGAUGAUCUGCCCUCCUCGGCCUCCCAAAGUGCUGGGAUUACAGGCGUUAGCCAUUGUGCCUGGCCACAGUGGUAUUUUCAAGAGUAUUAUAUAAUUUCUGUGAUGACAGUGGGAGUACCAAACUCUCUGAGAGGCUGAAAGAAAAUCUAUUUUAAUUGGAAAGACUUUCUGGAAGCACACAAUUAAGGUAUUGGUGCUUAGUUCCAUCUAAAAAAUUCCAUCAGGAAGGGAGAAAUAAAAUUUGUGCAACAAGGCAUUAUGCUAUUCACAUGGCUAUUAAGGCACUGGAAGUCAUUUUAUUCUCUGAACAAGGAUAGACAAUUUCAUUAAUUCUACUUUCUCAAUUUCCAAAACCACAUAGGUAAUUGCCACUUCCUGAAGGGGCUCCAGGGAUCUACCCUGAUUCGUGGGAAUACAACAGGGUGAUGUUUCUAUGGUUACAUAAAAGACAUCAUUUACAUACUUCUCCCUUACAUACGCUAAAGCUUCAGCAUCAUCAUUCCUGACUUUGAUCUAUUUAAGUAAAGUGGGAAAGGCAGGCAAGCAAUCAAGAGAGACAGAUCAAGGAAGCUCCACAUUUGCUGCCUCCUUUUUCUCCAGAGGAAAAGUUGCUGUCAAAUAACUCCAACAUUUGAAGGGAAAGAAAUAAAAGGGAGGGCCGUCAGGUGAUAGGUAUCUGCUUAUCUGGCAAAGAACAGGUUAAGGACCAGGCAUAAUUGUAUAAAAUAAGUGUGGACUAGUACAUUUUACAUAGUUCUUUCUUGAAUGAACAGCUAACAUGAUGUUAAGGCUUCCUGUGCCAGAAAUCAGACCUGGAUUCAAACCAUGGCUCGACCAAUCACUAGCUAUGCAACCACCAACCACAGGCAAGUUACUUAACCUCUCAGUUUUCUCAAUUGUAAAAUGAGGGCAGUAAUAAAACAAAAUAAAAAUAAGUAUUCCAGGCCAGACAUGAUGGCUCAUGCCUGUAAUCCUAGCAUUUUGGGAGGCCAAGGCAGGUGUUUUGUUUGAGCUCAGGAGUUCAAGACCAGCCUGAGCAACAUCGUGAAUCCCUGUCUCUACCAAAAAUACAAAAAAUUAGCCAGGCAUGGUGGCAUGCAUCUGUAGUCCCAGCUACUUGGGAGGCUGUGGUGGGAGGAUCACUUCAACCCAGGAGGCAGAGGUUGCAGUGAGCCGAGAUGGCACCACUGCACUCCAGCCUGAGUGACAGCGAGAUUCUGUUUCAAAAAAAAAAAGGGUGCUGGGCUCACACCUGUAAUCCCAGCACUUUAGGAAACUGAAGCAGGUGGAUCACUUAAGCCCAGGAGUUCAAGACCAACCAAGGUAAGAUAAUAACCUGAGCAACAUGGUGAAACCCUGUCUCUACAAAAAAUACAAAAAAUUACCCGAGGGUGGUGGCACAUGCCUAUAGUACCAGUUCCCCAGGAGGCUGUGGUAGGAACAUCACCUGAGCCCAGGAAGUUGAGGCUGCAGUGAGCCAUGAUGGCACCACUGCACUCCAGCCUAGGCAACAAGUGAGACCCUGUCUCAAAAGAAAAAAAAAAAAAUUCGUGAACACCUGGCAUGAUGACUGACAUAGUAAAUACUCAUGUUGGCUAUUAAUAUGAUUAUUUAUUUAAUGGACUAUAUUACACUCCUAGACAAGACUGGCUAAGACUCAGAUUUAACUGCUUUCUUUUUAUUUUUUUGAGACGGAGUCUUGCUCUGUUGCCCAGGCGGGAGUGCAGUGGUGCCACAUUGGCUCACUGCAACCUCCGCCUCCCGGGUUCAAGUGAUUCUUCUAUGUCAGCCUCCCUAGUAGCUGGGAUUACAGGCGCAUGACACCACACCUGGCUAAUUUUUGUAUUUUUAGUAGAGAUGGGGUUUCGCCAUGUCGGCCAGGCUGGUCUUGAACUCCUGACCUCAAGUGAUCCGCUGGCCUUGGCCUUCCAAAGUGCUGGGAUUAAAAGUGUGAACCAUCACGCCCAGCCUGAGUCAGAUUUAAUUUCAAUAAGUGAAGCUAUUAUAAUUAAUGGCACUACUAAAGCAAAGAUACUGUUUUAGUAUGUAAAUUAAGCAGAAUCUAAGAUUUACUGUUUUAAAUAAAUAUCCUUUCUUGGAUAUAGAGAAGAGGUGAGAAGUAAAAAUGAAACAUAAGGCCGGGCGCAGUGGCUCACGCCUGUAAUCCCAGCACUUUGGGAGGCCGAGGUGGGCGAUCACGAGGUCGGGAGAUCGACACCAUCCUGGCUAACACAGUGAAACCCCGUCUCUACUGAAAAUUCAAAAAAUUAGCCGGGUGUGGUGGUGGGCGCCUAUAGUCCCAGCUACUCGGGGCAGGAGAAUGGCGUGAACCCGGGAGGUGGCGCUUGCAGUGAGCCAAGAUGGCGCCACUGCACUCCAGCCUGGGCGACAGAGUGAGACUCCGCCUCAAAAAAAAAAAAAAGAAAAAGAAAAAGAAAAAGAAACAUAAGUAGCAAGACAGAAAUUAACAUUUUUUCCAUUUAGGCAAUAAAGAGAAUAAAACAAAAGUCAGGCUGGACAUGGUGGCUCACACCUGUAAUCCCAGCACUUUGGGAGGCUGAGGAGGGCAGAUCACCUGAGGUCAGCAGUUCAAGACCAGCCUGGCCAACAUGGUGAAAUCCCAACUCUAUAAAAAUACAAAAAUUAGUCAGGCGUGAUGGUGCGUGCCUGUAAUCCCAGCUAAUUGGGAGGCAGAGGCAGGAGAAACAUUUGAACCCAGGAGGCGGAGGUUGCAGUGAGUCAAGAUUGCGCCACUGCACUCUAGCCUGGGUGACAGAGUGAGAACCAUCUCAAAAACAAAAACAAAAACAAAAAUCAUAGCAACCUUCCAGACAUACUUGAUUCAAUUUAUUAUUGUUUUUCCUCUUCUAAGAGAAGAGGAACGUCAAGUAGGAGUAGGACUCAGAAAGAAAAAUUUACAAAGCAUUUCGUGAUAUAGUACCAGGAUUAGCCAUGAAGUCUAAAACUGAAAAUUAAUUUUGUUGUACGUAAGGCCAGCAAUUUGUGGGAAAAAAGCGAUAAUGGAUUUUAAUUUAAUUUAAAAGGCAUGGCAAAUGUACCUGCUUCUUUUAAAGUGCUGCAUUUCUGAUAUAUAGAUGUCCGCAAGGUGGGUGCCCUUACAUUAUAC